rnacentral:rRNA from 1 species
AUUGAACGCUGGCGGCAGGCCUAACACAUGCAAGUCGAACGAGUGGCGGACGGGUGAGUAAUGUCUGGGAAACUGCCUGAUGGAGGGGUAUAACUACUGGAAACGGUAGCUAAUACCGCAUUCGAUCGUAUGUGCCCAGAUGGGUUUAGCUAGUAGGUGAGGUAAAGGCUCACCUAGGCGACGAUCCCUAGCUGGUCUGCGAGGAUGACCAGCCACACUGGGACUGAGACACGGUCCAGACUCCUACGGGAGGCAGCAGUGGGGAAUAUUGCACAAUGGGCGCAAGCCUGAUGCAGCCAUGCCGCGUGUAUGAAGAAGGCCUUCGGGUUGUAAAGUACUGUUAGUGGGGAGGCGUUACCCACAGAAGAAGCACCGGCUAACUCCGUGCCAGCAGCCGCGGUAAUUC